CGUCCGGCAGCCCUGCCUUCUGGAUGCUGAGUGGCUUUAGACGCUGGGGCUCAGGCAACCUGGAGGGACUGAUUCUGGGCUAACCCCAUUCCCAGUACCUGGUAAUUCUUCUCUUUGGCUCCGCAUCCCUACUACCUGCCAGGCACCGGGCCAGGUGUCUUACAGGUGUCAUACAUUUCACUCUCACAAGAGCUGUGAAGCCCAUUCUGCAGAAAGGGAAGGUGAGGCUGGGGUAAGUAAUUGCCCUGGGUUUCUCAGCCAGAAAGAGGAUUUGGGUCCAGGUCUGCCCACUGGGGUCCCCCUAGCUUGGACUGAAGAGAAUUAAGAAUCUAAACCAGGAGGCCAGCAAAUGGGCCCCCUGGACCAGACCUGGGGGUGCCACUGCCAUCCUUUUAGGGGGGGUCCCCUCCCCUAGAUGACAGGCUUGGGCCUCUGAGCCAGGGGAGCCUCUGGCCCAGCGACAGCCUGGAACCCAAGGCAGCUGGACAGAAAGCCACUGAUGGCCUCAGGGCUCAGGGCUCUUGAAUUGCUGGCAAGUUUCCUCUGAGCCCUCAGGGCUUAUUUAAAUAGAGCUAAAGUGCCCUAGUCCCUGGUGGAAGAGGUUAAGUAAGGAGGGAGGAUUAAGUGCUGCCUUGGGGGGUGGGCGGGGCCUCUGGAAAGCUCUGGAACUGGCCUAUCUCCCAGUUUUCCUGCCCUCUGCUUCCCCCACCAGGCCACCCAGGGCUCACCCCUCUCUCUCUGGUCCUUACCAAGGUUCUUAAAUGUGGAUACACCUGUGGAUUGCGUGAGAUGCAGGUGCAGUGUGGGCCCGGGGCUCUGCAUUCGAACGAGCCACCCAGCCUCUUCCUUAAGCACUCAUCCCUGAGACCCCACCGUGUAGACCAGGCGAGGGGCUGGGUGUGGACCUGUGAUGUGCUGAGGCUCCGAGAGAUUCCCAUCGUUGUAAGAAAUAAUCCAGAGAGAUCCCGCGUGCCCUCUACCCCGCGCCCCCCAAAGGGAUGGACCGCGAAGACUGCAAUUGCUGAGUCAUGUAGUAAUUGCAUGCUUCAUUUUCUAAGAAACUGCCGGGCUGUUCCGAAGAGCUGCGUUGUGUUCCACGCCCACCAGCAGCGAAGAAGGGGUCUGCUCUCUCUGCAGCCUCGCCCACAUUUGGUGUUGCCUCUGUUUUUCGUUUUAAUCUUUCUGAUAGGUGUGUUUAAACCACUGUCUCACGUGGCGUAAAGCUGCGUUCCCCUGAUGGCUCAUGACGUUGCACACCUUCGGAGGUGCUAGGGGCCAUCCGUGUACCCUCUUCAGUGAAAUGUCAUUGUUGAAUCUGAAGCGAGUUUCUUUUAAACAGCAUA